rnacentral:rRNA from 1 species
UACGUAGGGGGCUAGCGUUGUCCGGAUUUAUUGGGCGUAAAGAGCGUGUAGGCGGCCAGAUAGGUCUGCUGUGAAAACUCGAGGCUCAACCUCGAGCCGUCGGCGGAAACCAUCUGGCUAGAGACCGGAAGAGGAGAGUGGAAUUCCCGGUGUAGCGGUGAAAUGCGCAGAUAUCGGGAGGAACACCUAUGGCGAAGGCGGCUCACUGGCCGGUGACUGACGCUGAGGUGCGAAGACGUGGGGAGCAAACGGGAUUAGAAACCCGU